GACAGAGGGUGCAAACGUUGCUCGGAAUUACUGGGCGGAAAGCGCGUGUAGGUGGAUUGGUGUGUCAGAUGUGAAAGCCCUGGGCUCAACCCAGGAACUGCACCUGAAACUACCAGUCUUGAGUGGUGGAGAGGGAAGUGGAAUUCCUGGUGUAGAGGUGAAAUUCGUAGAUAUCAGGAGGAACACCAGUGGCGAAGGCGGCUUCCUGGACACUAACUGACGCUGAGACGCGAAAGCGUGGGGAGCAAACAGG
rnacentral:rRNA from 1 species